GUUGAAAUUAAUUGGUCUGAUUUAAAAUCCUAACAGGUGGCUUUAAGCCAUUGCCUGAAGCAGCUGGGGGAGUGUCUGGGUGCCUGACCUGCUAGCCAGGUCUGAGGGAACAGGGACUCCUUCAGCCUGGCAGAGGGUUUUUAUUUCUCCUUGCACUUAUGAGAACGUGGAUUCAAGCCAAAUAAAUACGGCAUCAGAAAAAGCUUCAGUCCCAGCUAUUUUCAUGACUGAAUUCCCCUUCUGUCUUAUCACAGACUUGAGCUUUACUGCUGCCACUCCAACUGAGAAACACCUUGUCCCAGAAGAGCUAUAUUUUGUUGCCCUUGGGAGGGAGUGUUCAUCAUGCAACCACUCAAGCAAGUGUGGGGACUUACAUUCGAUCAGAAAAGAGUUUGGGUCCUACAAAAUGAAGCAAGAACUCCAAAGUCCUUUGCUGAUUUCUGUGUCUUGUCAUCAUAGAUGUCCCUGGACAUCUAUUUCUUGUGGUGUUAGGUGUCCAAUUCAUUACCUGGCUACUGUGAUAGUUGGAAGAGGAAUCUGCAAAAAGCUAAAAGAACAAUCCUUCUUAAUAAUAGGAACUCAUUUCAGUCUAGCUUAUUUAUUUAUGUUUUUUAAAAUAUGAAUAAAAUUCCCAAGUUGCAUAUGCAUAAUUUCAACUGCCUUCCAUUGUUUAUCCUUUGUUUGAGAAGCAGAAAUUCUACAGCAUGCAUCUCAAACCUGCAUGAAUUUAUCUACCUUACUUCACCAAAAAUUUAGAUAAAAGAACUCUCAUAUAUUACUGAAGCAGAUGGCCACUUUCAAGAGCCAGAAUGUAAUUGAAUGGCAUGGAUACUCUAAGUUUGGUUAAGUCAGAAACUAAAUAGAGUGUCAUUUGAGGCAACACUGGAGAUGCUUGAGAAUUAUCAGGACUUGGCUCACCUCAGCUGGAAAGGAGCUUGGAGCUGGCAAGCAGGAAUAUGACUCCAUGUGUUAAGGCAACUGCUCUCAGGAACAGAUGCAGCCCCUGCAGGAAUGGGCAGCCUGACCAGCCCUAAUCACAUCAGCUGGCAUGGGCAUAGGAUGCCUGUCUCUCUUACCUCCCUCCUCUGCCAAGUCCUGGCCAGUAGUAUCCCUGAGGCCUUGGGAUAAGUCUUGCACUUGUUUAAUAGUAUUGUCAAUUUAAUCCAAAUUUAGGAACUGCUGCAACAC